ACAAAUUUUGUUAAUUACUAGUAGUUUAAUUGUAUAGUAAUGUUUAUAUAGUUUUUACUUACAGGUCUUGUGACACAGUGAGCCCGGGAAAUUUCUCAUUGGCUUCCUGUUACUAUUUCCCUGUUUACAUUUUUGCUUUGAAAAUAAAAUAUUAAAAAAAAACUUAUGAAAAAAAUAUAUAUAUAUAUAAUUUUUGAUGGAUUAGGAUUUUAGGACAAAUGGUCUGUGCGAUACACAAUGAAAUAGGCUAAAAAUUGUUUCAAGAUCUUCUAAAAGUCAUGAAUGUUGUAGUGGAAAAAUGCGAACCAUUUAGAUAAAGUUAAUAUUAAGAAUUUUAAGAACGUUGGGAAUAUCAUUUUAUCUUUAAACCUAAUGACUGAUUUCCAACAAAGACCUAUGAGUAUAUAAAAGUUAUUCUCUUUCAGUUGGGCUGCUGUACAUGAAAAACCUUCCACUGAUCUUUGUUUUACUGUUCCCUGAAACAUUUGACAUUCUUGUCUGACUAAUAUGCAAUUAAUAUAUUAAAUUAAGAUGGAAAAUUAUCACCCAUUCAGUUGCCUUUCUUAUUUGAAAUGUCUGUUUGGGUUGGAAAUCUGAUAUUAUUGCUAUCGCAGCCUUCCAGUUUGAAAAUCACAAUGUGUUAGAAUGCCUUCCUUUAAUAAGUACAAUGUGUUUGAAUAACUAAUCAUAUCUUUUUUUAGUUUCCUUUUGGAGAAGUUAUCCUUGUGGUGUAACUCAAAUUUUCUGUGACGUGCAAUUUAUUCCCUGAAAAGCAAGGUCCUGUACACCUGUGUUCCAAUAUAUGUAAUAACCUGGUGUCUAGUUACCUUGAAAAGAGGUUUCUUUGCUCCUUUGUGCUUGUUAAUAAAUAUCUUCUUACAUUUUUUUUUUUAAAAGAACAGGGGUUUCUUAAUCAUGCAAACAUGCAUUAAUAUGUAGGAGACAGUGUUUUAUGUAGCACCCCUGUUGAGGUGCGAAUAGACUUUCCUCACUUGGGUUCUAUAAGGGGUGCUUGCAUUUGUGAACUGAUUGGAUUUUCUAUGUUAUAGCUUAUCUGCCCAUAUUACAAGGUGAUUUGGAGAGAAAGCCUAAGCCACAUCUUGAACAUGCUCGAAAGGAAGUAGUCAAUGCUACAAUUGAAGCUCUAUUGGAAUCAUUAUAAAGAGCAAGAGCUUAUCUCUCCCAAGCAGUGUGGGGGUCCCAUACACCAUCUAGACAUUAAUUCGUACAAGGUAUCACAAUUUCCUCCUCUUAAAUUCCCAACAUCUUUGAUGGGCAAUUCCAUCGUAGGUGGCACGACUCAAGUCCUAUUUUUCUGAAUGGGAUAGACUCUGAUACCAUUUGUAAUGCCACAAUGGAAGGCCCAAACUAUAUCUGGGCUUUACUCCAAAAGGACUAGUCAAUGGUAUAAUUGGAGGCCCAUUGUAAUUAUUAUAAAGAGUAUCUCUCUCCCAAGCAAUGUGGAAUCCCAUACACCACUUGCACUCAUUAAUUAGUAUGGGUCAUAUCAUUUCUCCUCUAAUUAUUUAUGGUGAGGGGGAUGAGCGUGGGUGGAUACUUGCUAAAUGGAAGAGAUGAAAAUUUGUUGCUGUCUUGACUGCUGGUUUUCCACAGUUCUUAUCAUGUUGUGGAUAUGAGCCUUAUUGGUGGAUAAAGCAUGAUUUGAUAAUUUAUAUGACUAUAUGAAGAGGCUAUGAAUGGUUGGCUUAAUUCCAUCUAUCAUGCUCAUAGCAUCCAUGUCAGUUUUGGGGACAUGAAUAGUUUAUUUUGGUUGCUAUUAGCCCCUGGGUAAUAGUUCUUCCAGCUGUGAAUAUAUUGACUCUUGUGGUUAAUCUCAAUCAGUUGUGCUUGUUAUAAGCUUUUUUUAGUUAUUUAUUUAUUUUACCAUUUCUGAUAUCAUGCAUUGCUUAGUGAUAUGAACUAUCCAUUUAUGUGAUAUGUCCGUCUUGGAAGACCCCUUUCUGGGAACUCUGGUGAGAGUCCAUCUUAUAUGGAUAUUGAAGGGUCAAAAUC